rnacentral:rRNA from 1 species
UUGCUUCUCUUGAGAGCGGCGGACGGGUGAGUAAUGCCUAGGAAUCUGCCUGGUAGUGGGGGAUAACGUUCGGAAACGGACGCUAAUACCGCAUACGUCCUACGGGAGAAAGCAGGGGACCUUCGGGCCUUGCGCUAUCAGAUGAGCCUAGGUCGGAUUAGCUAGUUGGUGGGGUAAUGGCUCACCAAGGCGACGAUCCGUAACUGGUCUGAGAGGAUGAUCAGUCACACUGGAACUGAGACACGGUCCAGACUCCUACGGGAGGCAGCAGUGGGGAAUAUUGGACAAUGGGCGAAAGCCUGAUCCAGCCAUGCCGCGUGUGUGAAGAAGGUCUUCGGAUUGUAAAGCACUUUAAGUUGGGAGGAAGGGUUGUAGAUUAAUACUCUGCAAUUUUGACGUUACCGACAGAAUAAGCACCGGCUAACUCUGUGCCAGCAGCCGCGGUAAUACAGAGGGUGCAAGCGUUAAUCGGAAUUACUGGGCGUAAAGCGCGCGUAGGUGGUUUGUUAAGUUGGAUGUGAAAUCCCCGGGCUCAACCUGGGAACUGCAUUCAAAACUGACUGACUAGAGUAUGGUAGAGGGUGGUGGAAUUUCCUGUGUAGCGGUGAAAUGCGUAGAUAUAGGAAGGAACACCAGUGGCGAAGCGACCACCUGGACUAAUACUGACACUGAGGUGCGAAAGCGUGGGGAGCAACAGGAUUAGAUACCCUGGUAGUCCACGCCGUAAACGAUGUCAACUAGCCGUUGGAAGCCCUUGA